UCUCUCUCUCUCUCUGAAGAAUGCAGAUUCAAGUGAAAUGCGGCUGCAGGGAAGACAGCUGCCCAGAGUGGGCAAUAGUUGAAUUGCAGGGUGCGGUUGAAGCCCAACCUUCGUUUCGAGAUCGUCUCCAGAACCUCGAAAUCGGAUGCCUUUGUCGUCCAUCCUCUGAGGAAAAGUACACUUUCACUGUUGGGUAUCACGAAUUGUCAGGGUCGAAGGUACCCUUGAAGAAGCCAUUACUGGUACUGAAGAAAAAGAGAGCCUUCGAUCCGGAGGAGUCUAUCGAUUCUGAUCCGAAUUCAUCCAGGAUGGAGCUAGAAGUCAUCGGAAUUAUUCGUCAACGCAUUUUGUUCAAGACCAGGCCAAAGGCUCUGAUAUCAAAACCACAGCCAACGAUAAAGGAAAAGAAGGUCACUCCACCAGUUACACUCUUCCAAGGAUGAAUCAAUGUGGGAGAUUAUGGAGAUGGAAAAAUUUAUGAGGAACCAACAACCAAGUAUGGGCUUGCAUGAUCCAAAGAUUUGGCCUCGAAGAAGACGAUUGGUAGAGGACGUAUGGUGGAUGAGCUCUACAUGCUGGAGCAUAAGGCUGGUCUUACAGUCACAGAGUCUAAGAGUUAGUCUAGUACGAAUCGUGUCUAUUUAUGGCACAGUUGUCUCGGUCAUUUGUCUUUUGAGUCUUUAAAAUUGGUGUUUUUAGAGUUAUUUAAGUCAGUGUCAGUGCCCCAGUUUACAUGUCAAACUUGUCAAUUGA